CAGAGCACAUCUUAUGCCUACAUACAUGCAUUGUAAAUUUAAAUGAACAAAAACUGCACAUACAUGCAUAUGUACAUGCAUACAUAAAUAUCUCUAUUGAUAUACUAUUAUUGGUCAUGUGUGAUGCCUGACUAUAAUCUCAUAUAUUACAAUUGUUAGGCAUUAAUGCAUUGAACUUACCUCCCAUUUGGGUUUUUGUGCAUCCUUCUCUGGUCUCUUAACUAUUUAUUACAGAGCAACCAUGGAGGGGCAUAUUCAGUAAAAGAAAAAUCUAUUUGCAGCAGCGAAAUGCGGACAACAGCUCUGCUUAAAUUCCAGCCACACUGAAUUUUUGUGUGCAUGCAGAUAUACAUGCACACUCACACACACACAGAUGAGCGCAGAUAUACAUUAACCCAAGUCUCCCGGUUUGCAUCUACUAUUAUUAUCUUUCUUCUUCUUUUUCCUCUUGUUGCUUCUCCAGGUGGGUAAAGGUCACGAUGUUUUGUCUCUUGCUCUCUUCCCUUUCCGUUUAGUCUUUUCUUUUCUUUUUUAUUGCUUUACAAGAAGAGGCUGUGAUGAUUCCGGGCAGAGAGUUAAUGGCAUUGUGAGGUGGAAAAAGAUUAAUCCUAAACGGCAAGGGUGAUCUUGGAUGGGCCUGCUGCUGUCUGGCAGGCAACCAUUGCUGCUGAUUUGGUUGAGUUGUAGGAAUAUUCAAAGCAACGGUGCAAUGUUGGACUCUGUGGUGAAUCUGAGCCUCCUUUUUUCUUCCCCUUCUUCACUUUUCUAAUAUCUGUUCUUAUUCUUUAACAAGAUUCUAUUUUUCAACUCUUGUUUAACUUCU
rnacentral:lncRNA from 1 species